rnacentral:tRNA from 1 species
CGGGGCGUGGCGCAGUCUGGAAGCGCACUGGCAUGGGGGGCCAGGGGUCCCCGGUUCAAAUCCGGGCGCCCCGA